rnacentral:rRNA from 1 species
GGGUUGUGAGGUUAAGCGACUAAGCGUACACGGUGGAUGCCCUGGCAGUCAGAGGCGAUGAAGGACGUGCUAAUCUGCGAUAAGCGUCGGUAAGGUGAUAUGAACCGUUAUAACCGGCGAUUUCCGAAUGGGGAAACCCAGUGUGAUUCGUCACACUAUCAUUAACUGAAUCCAUAGGUUAAUGAGGCGAACCGGGGGAACUGAAACAUCUAAGUACCCCGAGGAAAAGAAAUCAACCGAGAUUCCCCCAGUAGCGGCGAGCGAACGGGGAGGAGCCCAGAGCCUGAAUCAGUGUGUGUGUUAGUGGAAGCGUCUGGAAAGGCGCGCGAUACAGGGUGACAGCCCCGUACACAAAAAUGCACAUGCUGUGAGCUCGAUGAGUAGGGCGGGACACGUGGUAUCCUGUCUGAAUAUGGGGGGACCAUCCUCCAAGGCUAAAUACUCCUGACUGACCGAUAGUGAACCAGUACCGUGAGGGAAAGGCGAAAAGAACCCCGGCGAGGGGAGUGAAAAAGAACCUGAAACCGUGUACGUACAAGCAGUGGGAGCACGCUUAGGCGUGUGACUGCGUACCUUUUGUAUAAUGGGUCAGCGACUUAUAUUCUGUAGCAAGGUUAACCGAAUAGGGGAGCCGAAGGGAAACCGAGUCUUAACUGGGCGUUAAGUUGCAGGGUAUAGACCCGAAACCCGGUGAUCUAGCCAUGGGCAGGUUGAAGGUUGGGUAACACUAACUGGAGGACCGAACCGACUAAUGUUGAAAAAUUAGCGGAUGACUUGUGGCUGGGGGUGAAAGGCCAAUCAAACCGGGAGAUAGCUGGUUCUCCCCGAAAGCUAUUUAGGUAGCGCCUCGUGAAUUCAUCUCCGGGGGUAGAGCACUGUUUCGGCAAGGGGGUCAUCCCGACUUACCAACCCGAUGCAAACUGCGAAUACCGGAGAAUGUUAUCACGGGAGACACACGGCGGGUGCUAACGUCCGUCGUGAAGAGGGAAACAACCCAGACCGCCAGCUAAGGUCCCAAAGUCAUGGUUAAGUGGGAAACGAUGUGGGAAGGCCCAGACAGCCAGGAUGUUGGCUUAGAAGCAGCCAUCAUUUAAAGAAAGCGUAAUAGCUCACUGGUCGAGUCGGCCUGCGCGGAAGAUGUAACGGGGCUAAACCAUGCACCGAAGCUGCGGCAGCGACGCUUAUGCGUUGUUGGGUAGGGGAGCGUUCUGUAAGCCUGUGAAGGUGUACUGUGAGGUAUGCUGGAGGUAUCAGAAGUGCGAAUGCUGACAUAAGUAACGAUAAAGCGGGUGAAAAGCCCGCUCGCCGGAAGACCAAGGGUUCCUGUCCAACGUUAAUCGGGGCAGGGUGAGUCGACCCCUAAGGCGAGGCCGAAAGGCGUAGUCGAUGGGAAACAGGUUAAUAUUCCUGUACUUGGUGUUACUGCGAAGGGGGGACGGAGAAGGCUAUGUUGGCCGGGCGACGGUUGUCCCGGUUUAAGCGUGUAGGCUGGUUUUCCAGGCAAAUCCGGAAAAUCAAGGCUGAGGCGUGAUGACGAGGCACUACGGUGCUGAAGCAACAAAUGCCCUGCUUCCAGGAAAAGCCUCUAAGCAUCAGGUAACAUCAAAUCGUACCCCAAACCGACACAGGUGGUCAGGUAGAGAAUACCAAGGCGCUUGAGAGAACUCGGGUGAAGGAACUAGGCAAAAUGGUGCCGUAACUUCGGGAGAAGGCACGCUGAUAUGUAGGUGAAGUCCCUCGCGGAUGGAGCUGAAAUCAGUCGAAGAUACCAGCUGGCUGCAACUGUUUAUUAAAAACACAGCACUGUGCAAACACGAAAGUGGACGUAUACGGUGUGACGCCUGCCCGGUGCCGGAAGGUUAAUUGAUGGGGUCAGCGCAAGCGAAGCUCUUGAUCGAAGCCCCGGUAAACGGCGGCCGUAACUAUAACGGUCCUAAGGUAGCGAAAUUCCUUGUCGGGUAAGUUCCGACCUGCACGAAUGGCGUAAUGAUGGCCAGGCUGUCUCCACCCGAGACUCAGUGAAAUUGAACUCGCUGUGAAGAUGCAGUGUACCCGCGGCAAGACGGAAAGACCCCGUGAACCUUUACUAUAGCUUGACACUGAACAUUGAGCCUUGAUGUGUAGGAUAGGUGGGAGGCUUUGAAGUGUGGACGCCAGUCUGCAUGGAGCCGACCUUGAAAUACCACCCUUUAAUGUUUGAUGUUCUAACGUGGACCCGUAAUCCGGGUUGCGGACAGUGUCUGGUGGGUAGUUUGACUGGGGCGGUCUCCUCCUAAAGAGUAACGGAGGAGCACGAAGGUUGGCUAAUCCUGGUCGGACAUCAGGAGGUUAGUGCAAUGGCAUAAGCCAGCUUGACUGCGAGCGUGACGGCGCGAGCAGGUGCGAAAGCAGGUCAUAGUGAUCCGGUGGUUCUGAAUGGAAGGGCCAUCGCUCAACGGAUAAAAGGUACUCCGGGGAUAACAGGCUGAUACCGCCCAAGAGUUCAUAUCGACGGCGGUGUUUGGCACCUCGAUGUCGGCUCAUCACAUCCUGGGGCUGAAGUAGGUCCCAAGGGUAUGGCUGUUCGCCAUUUAAAGUGGUACGCGAGCUGGGUUUAGAACGUCGUGAGACAGUUCGGUCCCUAUCUGCCGUGGGCGCUGGAGAACUGAGGGGGGCUGCUCCUAGUACGAGAGGACCGGAGUGGACGCAUCACUGGUGUUCGGGUUGUCAUGCCAAUGGCACUGCCCGGUAGCUAAAUGCGGAAGAGAUAAGUGCUGAAAGCAUCUAAGCACGAAACUUGCCCCGAGAUGAGUUCUCCCUGACCCUUUAAGGGUCCUGAAGGAACGUUGAAGACGACGACGUUGAUAGGCCGGGUGUGUAAGCGCAGCGAUGCGUUGAGCUAACCGGUACUAAUGAACCGUGAGGCUUAACCUUACAACGCCGAAG